rnacentral:rRNA from 1 species
UACGAAGGGGGCUAGCGUUGCUCGGAAUCACUGGGCGUAAAGCGCACGUAGGCGGGUCUUUAAGUCAGGGGUGAAAUCCUGGAGCUCAACUCCAGAACUGCCUUUGAUACUGAGAGCUUGAGUCCGGGAGAGGUGAGUGGAACUGCGAGUGUAGAGGUGAAAUUCGUAGAUAUUCGCAAGAACACCAGUGGCGAAGGCGGCUCACUGGCCCGGUACUGACGCUGAGGUGCGAAAGCGUGGGGAGCAAACAGG